GGGGUUGUAGCUCAACCUGGGACACGAGAAAGCUCAGCUUUCUGGGUUUCCUUGCAGGAAAGAGCACUACGCUGAAGACGUAGUUGUCGAGGGUUCAAAUCCCUCCAACCCCA
rnacentral:tRNA from 1 species